AGAGUUUGAUCCUGGCUCAGGAUGAACGCUAGCGGCAGGCUUAAUACAUGCAAGUCGAGGGGCAGCACGGUAGCAAUACUGGUGGCGACCGGCAAACGGGUGCGGAACACGUACAGAACCUUCCUUUAAGUGGGGGAUAGCCCAGAGAAAUUUGGAUUAAUACCCCGUAACAUCAUUGAGUGGCAUCAUUUAAUGAUUAUAGAUUUAUCGCUUAGAGAUGGCUGUGCGGCUGAUUAGGUAGUUGGUGCGGGUAACGGCCCACCAAGCCUUCGAUCAGUAACUGGUGUGAGAGCACGACCAGUCACACGGGCACUGAGACACGGGCCCGACUCCUACGGGAGGCAGCAGUAAGGAAUAUUGGUCAAUGGACGCAAGUCUGAACCAGCCAUGCCGCGUGAAGGAUGAAGGUCCUCUGGAUUGUAAACUUCUUUUAUCUGGGAAGAAACCACUUUUUUCUAAGGGUGUUGACGGUACCAGAGGAAUAAGCACCGGCUAACUCCGUGCCAGCAGCCGCGGUAAUACGGAGGGUGCAAGCGUUAUCCGGAUUCACUGGGUUUAAAGGGUGCGUAGGUGGGUCUGUAAGUCAGUGGUGAAAUCUCCGGGCUUAACCUGGAAACUGCCAUUGAUACUAUAGGUCUUGAAUUUUCUGGAGGUAAGCGGAAUAUGUCAUGUAGCGGUGAAAUGCUUAGAUAUGACAUAGAACACCAAUUGCGAAGGCAGCUCACUACGCGAAUAUUGACACUGAGGCACGAAAGCGUGGGGAUCAAACAGGAUUAGAUACCCUGGUAGUCG
rnacentral:rRNA from 1 species